AACGUAGGAGGCGAGCGUUAUCCGGAUUUACUGGGUGUGAAGCGCGUGCAGGCGGUGGGCUAAGUUGGGUGUGAAAGCUCCCGGCUCAACUGGGAGAGGUCGCUCAAGACUGGCCGACUGGAGAGCAGGAUGGGAAGGUGGAAUUCCGGGUGUAGUGGUGAAAUGCGUAGAUAUCCGGAGGAACACCAGUGGCGAAAGCGGCCUUCUGGACUGCAUCUGACGCUCAGACGCGAAAGCUAGGGGAG
rnacentral:rRNA from 1 species